CGCCUCUUGACAAAUAAUAAGAGGUCCUGCCUGCCCAGUGACUUGUUCAACGGCCGCGGUACCCUAACCGCGCGAAGGUAGCAUAAUCACUUGUCUCUUAAAUAGGGACUUGUAUCAACGGCAUCACGAGGGUUAUACUGUCUCCCCCCUCCAAUCAGUGAAACUGAUCUCCCUAUGAAAAAGUAGGGAUAAUAUUAUAAGACGAGAAGACCCCAUGGAGCUUUAAACCCAAUAGCAAUUCAGCAAACUCCCUUCUAAGCUAUAAAUCAUGCUAGCGGCUUUAGGUUGGGGUGACCACGGAGUAAAAAUUAACCUCCAUAACGAAAAGACUAAAAUCUUUACCCAAGAACUACUAUUCUAAGAAUUAGAAAACUAACGUACAAUGACCCGAUAUCGAUCAACGAACCAAGUUACCCUGGGGAUAACAGCGCAAUCUACCUAGAGAGUCCAUAUCGAUAGGUGGGCUUACGACCUCGAUGUUGGAUCAGGGUAUCCCAGUGGUGCAGCCGCUACUGAAGGUUCGUUUGUUCAACGAUUAAAACCCU
rnacentral:rRNA from 1 species